AUGCAAGUCGAGGGGCAGCAUGUCCAGCAAUGGAUGAUGGCGACCGGCGGAAGGGUGCGUAACGCGUGAGCAACAUGCCCUAUACAGGGAGAUACACCAGGGAAACUUGGUCUAAUAUCCCAUAGCAUUCAUUGAAGGCAUCUUUAAUGAAUUAAAGCUUCGGUGGUAUAGGAUUGGCUCGCGUGACAUUAGCCAGAUGGUGAGGUAACGGCUCACCAUAGCAAUGAUGUCUAGGGGUUUUGAGAGGAAGGCCCCCCACACUGGGACUGAGACACGGCCCAGACUCCUACGGGAGGCAGCAGUGAGGAAUAUUGGACAAUGGAUGGAAAUCUGAUCCAGCCACGCCGCGUGCAGGAAGACGGCCUUAUGGGUUGUAAACUGCUUUUAUACGGGAGCAAUAAGGGUUACGAGUAAUCCGAUGAGAGUACUGUAUGAAUAAGGAUCGGCUAACUCCGUGCCAGCAGCCGCGGUAAUACGGAGGAUCCGAGCGUUAUCCGGAAUUAUUGGGUUUAAAGGGUGCGUAGGCGGCCAUUUAAGUCAGCGGUGAAAUUUUGCAGCUUAACUGUAACAGUGCCGUUGAUACUGUUUGGCUAGGAUUUGGUUGUAGUGUGCGGAAUGUGUGGUGUAGCGGUGAAAUGCUUAGAUAUCACACAGAACACCGAUUGCGAAGGCAGCACACUAAGUCAUUAUUGACGCUGAGGCACGAAAGUGUGGGGAUCAAACAGGAUUAGAUACCCUGGUAGUCCACACUGUAAACGAUGAUAACUCGCUGUCGGCGAUACACAGUCGGGGCCAAGCGAAAG
rnacentral:rRNA from 1 species